AGUACAGGAGUUCAUAGCUGGGCAUUGAGCCAAAGGUGUCUAAUACAAAGUGCACAGGCGACACAAGAGAGACCUCUGAGCAGCUGAGCUGAUCCAAAAUCCUUAAAGAGCUGCCUGUAAUAGAGCUGUGAAAAAGUCAAGUUUAAAAGAGCAUCAAUUCUCCCAGGAAGAUCUGUAGUUGGAUGGGACCCUGAACGGUAAAUCUGCUCUGUGCUUCAGAUGAUGUAUGGAGAAGACACGAGGUGUGGCGCAAACAGAAGCACUGAUUUACCACCAGGAGUCAAAAAGGCACCCAUGGUACUCAGAAUCUGUCAACAAAUCACCUCCUUACAUAUAUUGGUACCACACCGGCACUAAUCCAAACCCUAGUGAUCUGCCUUGCUGUCUACUACAAGUCAGCUUCUUUUUAAAGCAUCAUAACUGAAAUGGAAACUCAUACGUAUGAUUUGAAACACUCCACAUAGGCAGCAACUCUGUGUGAUUCAAAUAACAUAGAUUUGUUUACACUCACAGCCCCUUUCGCCUUCAGAACUGCCUUUAUUCUACGUGGCAUUGAUUCAACAAGGUGCUGAAAGCAUUCUUUAGAAAUGUUGGCCCAUAUUGAUAGGAUAGCAUCUUGCAGUUGAUGGAGAUUUGUGGGAUGCACAUCCAGGGCAUGAAGCUCCCAUUCCACCACAUGCCAAAGAUGCUCUAUUGGGUUGAGAUCUGGUGACUGUGGGGGCCAUUUUAGUACAGUGAACUCAUUGUCAUGUUUAAGAAACCAAUUUGAAAUGAUUCGAGCUUUGUGACAUGGUGCAUUAUCCUGCUGGAGGUAGCCAUCAGAGGAUGGGUACAUGGUGGUCAUAAAGGGAUGGACAUGGUCAGAAACAAUGCUCAGGUAGGCCGUGGCAUUUAAACGAUGCCCAAUUGGCACAAGGUGCCUAAAGUGUGCCAAGAAAAUAUCCCCCACAUCAUUACACCACCACCAGCAGCAGCCUGCAGAGUGGUAACAAGGCAUGAUGGAUCCAUGUUCUUAUUCUG